GACGAACGCUGGCGGCGUGCUUAACACAUGCAAGUCGAACGGAAAGGCCCUGCUUUUGUGGGGUGCUCGAGUGGCGAACGGGUGAGUAACACGUGAGUAACCUGCCCUUGACUUUGGGAUAACUUCAGGAAACUGGGGCUAAUACCGGAUAGGAGCUCCUGCUGCAUGGGGGGGGUUGGAAAGUUUCGGCGGUUGGGGAUGGACUCGCGGCUUAUCAGCUUGUUGGUGGGGUAGUGGCUUACCAGGGUUUUGACGGGUAGCCGGCCUGGGAGGGUGGCCGGCCACAUUGGGACUGCGAUACGGCCCAGACUCCUACGGGCGGCAGCAGUGGGGAAUAUUGCACAAUGGGCGGAAGCCUGAUGCAGCAACGCCGCGUGCGGGAUGACGGCCUUCGGGUUGUAAACCGCUUUCGCCUGUGACGAAGCGUGAGUGACGGUAAUGGGUAAAGAAGCACCGGCUAACUACGUG
rnacentral:rRNA from 1 species